UACGUAGGUGGCAAGCGUUGUCCGGAUUUACUGGGCGUAAAGAGCGCGCAGGCGGUCGUUCAAGUCGAGUGUGAAAGCUCCCGGCUCAACUGGGAGAGGUCCUUGGAUACUGGCGAACUUGAGGGAUGCAGAGGAAAGUGGAAUUCCCGGUGUAGCGGUGAAAUGCGCAGAUAUCGGGAGGAACACCAAUGGCGAAGGCAGCUCUCUGGGACGGUACUGACGCUGAGACGCGAAAGCGUGGGGAGCGAACAGG
rnacentral:rRNA from 1 species